AUUGGACGCUGGCGGCAUGCCUUACACAUGCAAGUCGAACGGUAACAGGUCUUCGGAUGCUGACGAGUGGCGAACGGGUGAGUAAUACAUCGGAACGUGCCCGAUCGUGGGGGAUAACGAAGCGAAAGCUUUGCUAAUACCGCAUAAGAUCUACGGAUGAAAGCAGGGGACCGCAAGGCCUUGCGCGAACGGAGCGGCCGAUGGCAGAUUAGGUAGUUGGUGGGAUAAAAGCUUACCAAGCCGACGAUCUGUAGCUGGUCUGAGAGGACGACCAGCCACACUGGGACUGAGACACGGCCCAGACUCCUACGGGAGGCAGCAGUGGGGAAUUUUGGACAAUGGGCGCAAGCCUGAUCCAGCCAUGCCGCGUGCAGGAUGAAGGCCUUCGGGUUGUAAACUGCUUUUGUACGGAACGAAAAGACUCUGGUUAAUACCUGGGGUCCAUGACGGUACCGUAAGAAUAAGCACCGGCUAACUACGUGCCAGCAGCCGCCGUAAUAC
rnacentral:rRNA from 1 species